GGGGGUGUAGCUCACCUGGUAGAGCGCUUGAAUGGCAUUCAAGAGGUAAGGGGUUCGACCCCCCUCAUCUCCACCA
rnacentral:tRNA from 1 species